rnacentral:rRNA from 1 species
UUACCAAGGCUUGACAUGUUCCCGAUCGCCGUAGAGAUACGAUUUCCCCUUUGGGGCGGGUUCACAGGUGGUGCAUGGUUGUCGUCAGCUCGUGUCGUGAGAUGUUGGGUUAAGUCCCGCAACGAGCGCAACCCUCGUUCCAUGUUGCCAGCACGUAAUGGUGGGGACUCAUGGGAGACUGCCGGGGUCAACUCGGAGGAAGGUGAGGACGACGUCAAAUCAUCAUGCC